rnacentral:rRNA from 1 species
UCCACAUCGACGGGGAGGUUUGGCACCUCGAUGUCGGCUCAUCGCAUCCUGGGGCUGUAGUCGGUCCCAAGGGUUGGGCUGUUCGCCCAUUAAAGCGGUACGCGAGCUGGGUUCAGAACGUCGUGAGACAGUUCGGUCCCUAUCCGUCGCGGGCGCAGGAAAUUUGAGAGGAGCUGUCCUUAGUACGAGAGGACCGGGAUGGACGCACCGCUGGUGUACCAGUUGUUCUGCCAAGGGCAUCGCUGGGUAGCUAUGUGCGGACGGGAUAAGUGCUGAAAGCAUCUAAGCAUGAAGCCCCCCUCAAGAUGAGAUUUCCCAUUCCGCAAGGAAGUAAGAUCCCUGAAAGAUGAUCAGGUUGAUAGGUCUGAGGUGGAAGCGUGGUGACACGUGGAGCUGACAGAUACUAAUAGAUCGAGGACUUAACCUAU